rnacentral:lncRNA from 1 species
GCCAGGCAUGAAUACAAAUAAUAAAGCAUCAAUGCAUACCAAACCUUGAUAGCAUAGAUUCUACUGAAAAGUAUAAUCAUACUUAUUGGCAUUAUACAUUUUCAAAGAUGUCCUUUUGUUGUUAUUGUUGUUUACUCCAAGUUCUUAUUUGUGAUUUGCUGUAUGUAUGUGCUUGUACAACCAGGUGGUAUAAUAGAUGAGGAUAUACAUGCAGCGGUAUUAAAAUAUUGAAGAAUAAGUUCUUUGCUAAAGAUACAUAGAAGAGAUAUCUGAGAUUCACUGAUGUGUGUUUCUGUGUGUGUAUGUAAUGAAUACCUAGCACUUUUGCAUGGCUGAUGCCCAUCCCUACCUUGUUUAGGUAUUAGCUCCUAUUCCAAUUUUGCUCUUGAUUCCAUGCCCCCUGUUUCCAGCUUUGGACAGCAGAUUCAAGACAUCCUGGCAGAACAGUUUAUUUCUCUGGCCACACUGACUUCUGAGAAAAUGGGUUUUCAAUGAGCCAGACCAAUGCAACUUGAUUCUCAGGUUCUCCUGGAAGCAUUACGGUGGCAGGAAGUUCUCAUCUUAACAGAAUUCAUGAGAUAGGGUAAGCUGGAGGAAGUACCCUGCAGCUGCUGAUGGCUGUCUAGCUCCCAUAAAGUAAAAAUAUGAAGAGAGGGAGUCGACAAAGUGAAAAGCAGAGACAGGAGACUGAGAUGAUAGAAAUAUAGAUAUGGAUAGAUGAUUAGAUAGAUAGAUAAGUAGAAGAGCUCUGAAGAUAAUAUUUCAGCCUCCUAACUUAACCAUUUCUGAAAGUAUCUACCAGACUUUAGUUCUACGAGCCAAUAUAUUCCUCUUCAUUAUGUAGCCAGUUUAUGUUCAACUCUUAGCUUCAUGAUAAAAAUGGAGCUUGUUUUCCAGAGAUCACCUCUACUUGCCUGUUCCUCUUUCUGUGCAACUUUCAGAUUUAACUCAGGCAUUACGCUGUCUGAGAAGGCUUUUUGGAACAUGCUUAAAUUUGAGGAAAUGUGAACUGAAACUGCAGAGGAAAAAAAUGACUAAAGGAAAGAAAACUUUCAUAUGGUAAGGAGUGCCAC